rnacentral:rRNA from 1 species
AGCGAACGCUGGCGGCAGGCCUAACACAUGCAAGUCGAACGAACUCUUCGGAGUUAGUGGCGGACGGGUGAGUAACACGUGGGAACGUGCCUUUUGGUUCGGAAUAACUCAGGGAAACUUGUGCUAAUACCGAAUGUGCCCUUCGGGGGAAAGAUUUAUCGCCAUUAGAGCGGCCCGCGUCUGAUUAGCUAGUUGGUGAGGUAACGGCUCACCAAGGCGACGAUCAGUAGCUGGUCUGAGAGGAUGACCGGCCACACUGGGACUGAGACACGGCCCAGACUCCUACGGGAGGCAGCAGUGGGGAAUCUUGCGCAAUGGGCGAAAGCCUGACGCAGCCAUGCCGCGUGAAUGAUGAAGGUCUUAGGAUUGUAAAAUUCUUUCACCGGGGACGAUAAUGACGGUACCCGGAGAAGAAGCCCCGGCUAACUUCGUG